UACGUAGGGGCCGAGCGUUGUCCGGAGUUACUGGGCGUAAAGCGCGCGCAGGCGGCGCAUCGCGCCCGGCGUGAAAGCCCCCGGCUCAACCGGGGAGGGUCGUCGGGGACGGGAGCGCUUGAGGACGGCAGGGGCAGGUGGAAUUCCCGGUGUAGUGGUGAAAUGCGUAGAGAUCGGGAGGAACACCCGUGGCGAAGGCGACCUGCUGGGCCGAUCCUGACGCUGAGGCGCGAAGGCGUGGGGAGCGAACGGG
rnacentral:rRNA from 1 species